AGCCGACCCCCCGGAGUCUGCCUGCAGGGACUGGUUUCAUACCCCCGGGGGCGGCAUUGACUGAAGACCGUUGUCGUGAGCGCCGGGGGAGAAGGCGUGCCCAUGUGGCCCGUCAG
rnacentral:ncRNA from 1 species